UUGACCUCGGAUCAGGUAGGGAUACCCGCUA
rnacentral:rRNA from 2 species